CCUGUGGCCUCAUGUACUUGGGUCGUACUACGAGAGCCUUACAUAUUCGAAUUAGAAAACAUAUCUGUAACAUACAGAAAGGGUUUAGAAACCACAGUGUGUCCAACCAUUUUAAAUCCCAUCAUAAUCAAGAUCCCAGGGGUUUAUUUAUUAUUGGAUUGAAAAAAGUAGAACAGAACUGGAGGGGAGGGGAUUUGGAAGGAUUGAAAUGGAGUGGAUUUUUAAGAUGAAUAUUUUGAUACCUUACGGCUUGAAUGCCGAUUUUGAGUUAUACCAUUUCUUGUAGUUUUUUAUAUGUAUUUUUAUGAUCGACUUGUCUUCCC